CUGAACCAGCCAAGUAGCGUGAAGGAUGACUGCCCUAUAGGUUGUAAACUUCUUUUAUACGGGAAUAAAGUGAGGCACGUGUGCCUUUUUGUAUGUACCGUAUGAAUAAGGAUCGGCUAACUCCGUGCCAGCAGCCGCGGUAAUACGGAGGAUCCGAGCGUUAUCCGGAUUUAUUGGGUUUAAAGGGAGCGUAGGCGGACGCUUAAGUCAGUUGUGAAAGUUUGCGG
rnacentral:rRNA from 1 species